UACGUAGGUGGCAAGCGUUAUCCGGAUUUACUGGGUGUAAAGGGCGUGUAGGCGGUUCUGCAAGUCAGAUGUGAAAUCUCCGGGCUUAACCCGGAAGCUGCAUCUGAAACUGCAGAACUUGAGUACUGGAGAGGAUAGUGGAAUUCCUAGUGUAGCGGUAAAAUGCGUAGAUAUUAGGAGGAACACCAGUGGCGAAGGCGGCUAUCUGGACAGUAACUGACGCUGAGGCGCGAAAGCGUGGGGAGCAAACAGGAUUAGAUACCCGGGUA
rnacentral:rRNA from 1 species